rnacentral:rRNA from 1 species
ACGCUCGACACCUACGGGGGGCAGCAGUGGGGAAUAUUGGGCAAUGGGCGAAAGCCUGACCCAGCAACGCCGCGUGAGGGAAGAAGGUUUUCGGAUUGUAAACCUCUGUCCUCAGGGACGAAGGACGUGACGGUACCUGAGGAGGAAGCCCCGGCUAACUACGUGCUAGCAGCCGCGGUAAUCUGAGCGGGCUGGCAAGGC